rnacentral:rRNA from 1 species
GAUGAACGCUAGCGGCAGGCCUAACACAUGCAAGUCGAGGGGUAGAGUUAGCUUGCUAACUUGAGACCGGCGCACGGGUGCGUAACGCGUAUGCAAUCUACCUUGUACAGAGGGAUAGCCCAGAGAAAUUUGGAUUAAUACCUCAUAGUAUCUUUACCUGGCAUCGGGUAAUUAUUAAAGUUCCAACGGUACAAGAUGAGCAUGCGUCCCAUUAGUUAGUUGGUAAGGUAACGGCUUACCAAGACAAUGAUGGGUAGGGGUCCUGAGAGGGAGAUCCCCCACACUGGUACUGAGACACGGACCAGACUCCUACGGGAGGCAGCAGUGAGGAAUAUUGGUCAAUGGACGCAAGUCUGAACCAGCCAUGCCGCGUGCAGGAAGACGGUCCUAUGGAUUGUAAACUGCUUUUUAANACAGGAAGAAACAACUCUACGUGUAGAGUCUUGAC